UUAGAAUGAACUUCAAAAAAU
rnacentral:piRNA from 1 species